UACGGAGGAUCCAAGCGUUAUCCGGAUUUAUUGGGUUUAAAGGGUGCGUAGGCGGUCUGUUAAGUUAGAGGUGAAAUGCCGUGGCUCAACCACGGGACUGCCUCUGAUACUGGCAGGCUAGAGUAUAGUUGCUGUGGGCGGAAUGUAUGGUGUAGCGGUGAAAUGCUUAGAGAUCAUACAGGACACCGAUUGCGAAGGCAGCUCACAAAGCUAUAACUGACGCUGAGGCACGAAAGCGUGGGGAGCAAACAGG
rnacentral:rRNA from 1 species